rnacentral:lncRNA from 1 species
CAACCAUCGGCAAGAAGAUCACUGAGCUCACUCCGACAAGGGGCUUUGCAGCAGAAUUCGCAGCAGCCUCGGUGGUCCUUGUGGCAUCGAAGCUUGGCCUGCCCAUCUCAGCAACCCACACACUCGUUGGUGCCGUGAUGGGCGUCGGCUUUGCCAGGGGACUCAACAGCGUCAGAGCAGAGACAGUGCGCGAGAUUGUUACUUCUUGGGCAGUGACCAUACCAGUUGGUGCAGUGUUGUCUGUCUUCUAUACAUGGAUCUCCACCAAGCUGUUGUCAUUUUUGAUCUAAGCUGUCCAAGUUGACAAGGGAGCUUUUGUCAUAGUCUCCAUUGCCUGUAACAUUCUCUUUGCAUUUGAUCCAGAGCAGUCCUGCACACAAGAGCCAGAGGUCAAGAAUUACAUACAAGGUUAAUGACAAGCUCAUGACCAGGAAGCAUCAUCCGGUUAUGCAUUGCGGCUAACAGCUCAUAAUUAGGAUUAUAUCUGCUCCCUGCAUCAUCCCAGUUUCUGAUUCACUUGGUUGUUCCGUUGAUAGUUUCUGCGCUGUUGUAAGAGGAUAAAUCAAAUAUUCUUGUCAUCAUAAAGCUUCUUAUGUUCUCUCUCCUGUAUUUAGUUUGGACCCAUUACUUUCUUCGAGACUUAAAAAGGACUCAUCAAGAGAAUUAUGUUCUUCAUUUACAGAGGUAGUGUCUCAAUUAGUUCGUACUCAUGGUGUUUUAUUGUCCUCAUGCCAAUUGAUGUGGACUACAUUUUGCAGCUUCCCUGGUUCUCCCAACCAAUACAGUAGACAGAUACCCACCAUUAGUGAUAAUUCAUUACCAUUGCUUGUUUGCCUAUUAGAGAUCACUAUUUAUUAAGAUAUGAGACAGACAGCCCUCCUCAAUUACUGCCUUUAGUUUUUUUAUCCUACUUACCCUGAACCAAAGAUGUAAUUCAAAUAUUUUCUAAUGCCCAUUAGAGAUCACCAUUUAUUAAGAUAUGAGACAGGCAGCCAGCCUUCCUCAAUUACUGCCUUUAAUUUUUCUAUCCUACUUACCCUGAACCAAAGAUGUAAUUCAAAUAUUUUCUAAUGCUUUAGGACUCCUAAUUACUGAAUUUUACAAAGGCAAGUGUUCACCACUAAAUUCUCAAUUAAAAUCUCAAAAGCUUUGAUGACGAAAUCCCCUACUAAUGAUUACUAUUCAUUAAUACCACUUAAAAGAAGAUUAAAUGGCAUAAUACAUUCUCUUGGUUGUAUAAUAGCACUAUUUUAAUAGCAUUUUAAUUGUAUAGGUGACAAUGAGAGAUUCAAUGGAUGACCUUGGAUUAAGAGUACCAUGGAUACUAGAUCUAGGUCGCAUAGUGAUUGAUGAAAUCAAAUGGUGCACAUAUCAAACCAACUCAUGUUCAAAUUGGCCAGUCCACUGAAAUGGGCACAUGAUUUCCUAGGGCGUCGACUAAUAAGUAAAUUUAUCUCAAGAUAAUCAUAUGCAUGAUUUGCAGAUUAUAGUUUACAAUCUUAGCAAACCUUGUUAGUGUUCCUUUUUUCUCUUAUAGCGCCAUCCAUGUCUGAAAUAAACUAACCUCCAAGAGAUAAUUGACAUGAAAGCUCUCAAGCUACAGAAGAUUUUUUUCCCGUGAAAAAAAAGUGACAAAAACAAGAUUUGAUUCUAAAAUUUUACAAUCAAUUAUCAAUAUAUUUACCAAUUAAACUAAUUAAUAUGUUCAGAAUUUGUCAAAUAAGAUAUUUAACCAGAUCUGAUACACUGAUGUUGUAGCUCGAUCACAAGGACACUGAGAUGAAGAGUGCCAGAGUGAAUACGAUUCGCAAACAAAAGAAAAUGUCAAAGCCAGAGAAAAGAAGAGGCGACCGCUUUGUCGAACUCGGGGCAUCGAAACCGUGGUGACACCAGGUUUAUCACAUCAAGAACAGACCGCCGAAUAGAAUGACUUCAUCGGGUUCAAGACAAGCAAUCAACAUAUCACUAAAUAGGUUUUGAGAUCUAAAAAUCUCAAGUAAGCCAAGAAUAACAUCCCGAUCUUUACAUCGCAAAGAGUGAAGAAACUGCAGCAUGUAUCGUCAUGGAAGGUAGAACAUGGAAACAAGGAACACAGCGUAACAGAGAGGGGUAAUACCUGCCUCUCGAAUGACGAUCAAAUGAGAGAACGGAAGCGAGCGCCGCCUCCUCCUCUUCGAGAUCCACGACGCCAAGAGAAGAACCUUGAGAACGGGAAGGGUUUGGUAUUUAAAGAAUUGGUUCGCCACGUGUCUGGUUCGGAUAUUGACUAGCCGCAAGAGAGGCCGAACCGGACCAGACCUGCAAACGGGUUCGUAAUACUUGAAGUGGAUCCGAACCCGAGGACUAACGGGUCGA